UUUCCUUUUCUAAACACAAGAUUUAUUUGACUUUUGACAAAGCAUGGCGGUACCUUUCAGUUGCAGUCAGCUUACUGUGGAAACAAGAAGCAUUUACUAUGAGAUUGUGAGCAGUAAUGGGAACAGAAUUGCUUGUUGUUAGGUUAUUGUAAACAAUAUCCAUUGGAUGUUACGGUGUAGUUGUAGGCCAGCACAACAUAAUGAGAAGUUCAGCAUUAGUAUAGAUAAGGUGCUCUUGCUUACCUGGUAUGCAUCAGUUUCCACUGUAAUUCUCCUUCAGUGCUUUCAGCAGCAAAAUACUUAGUGUGGCUUUAAGCACUGAAAAACAUGUGGGACAACCAUAUACCACGAGAGUUAUGAUUUAUAUCAUUAAGCAGUGAGUUUUGCAGAGUUGUGUCACUCAUGUCAAUGAAGCAAGAAGUAUUCUGCCGGCCCUUUAGCUGUGGCAUGUCAUCAAAGCUAUAUUAUGGUAUGACUGAGUGCAGAUGGCAUGUCUAAAAAGCAGGUGUACAAUAUAACUUUCAUAUUACUGACACGUAGAUAUUUCCUCUUCCUCAGUGUCCAUUCCCAGAUGUUUGCUUGCCCAGACUUCUACAGGAACUAUAGAAAGUCCUGCUCAUCCCUCAUGUCUGGAUUUGUAUCGUCAAAACCCAUACAGAAUAUGUGUUUACAUAUAUUUGUAUGCAUUUAUGCUGACAGCUCCUUUCUGAGGUUUUUUUCAGGGUCCUGAUUUGAGGAAAGUGGAUGCAGAUCUCGCUCAAAUAAUCUUUCUCCAAUACCAUCAACAUUGCCUGCCAAAAAUAAAAGUGGCAUAUGAAUCACAAUAAUUCACUCAUGAUUUGGUGGAUUUAAAGCCUGCGAAGGAGCAUUAGAAAUCCACAUGAUGUUCCUGAGUUUUAUGGACUUCGAGUGGUGGUGAGGUGACAAAACUGUUGAAUCUGCAGACUGAAACCAUCGGAAGCCUUUCCUGAGCUGGAGCUUGAAAUGGUCAAUAUUAAGAAGAAACACCGCAUAAAUGUGUGUAUAUGUAAGAGUUAUGUUGACCCAUGAUUAAAAGAGAAGGUCAUCUUCUGCCAUUCAUCACAGACUGGCUUCAGUUUCUUCCAGCCAUUCACUGGAGGUGCUUGUUUCUAGGCCCUGAUGCUGCACAGUACCUCAAUCCAUUCAGCUUCUCUUCAAGAUGGUAACUACUUUCCGCUCCACAUAUCUGCUGCGGAAGAUCUUGUGAUUACCUGAAAAAGUGAAUUGCAUCCUGUAGAUUUCCCCUUAAAACUUUUGCUUCACAGAAAAGUUCAGCUUGUGACAGAUGCGUCAGUGAUGUGAGACUCACUUCUCUGUUGCCUAAUUGCCCUCUCCACCUUCUGUCAAUCUGAAACUUUCAUUUUGGAAAGGAUUGAAGGAGUUGUAUUAAUAUUUGUGCUAGCCACUAUUUUUCCUGCACAUUUUCUCCUUUCCUUUGGUGUCUGGUUUGUCUUGGCUGCUUCUAAAAAUUCUGUUGCCUCUAGUGAGGGACUGCCAGAUUAAACCAGUACAGAGAAGCCAGGUGACUGUCUACUUUUACAAAUAUAGGUUGUGUAUAAUAAAUUCAGGUUUUACAUCUAUGCAAAUGAAAUCAUCAUAUGAUUCUGACUACAUGCAUUUUUUUAUCAAAUAUGGCAUAUAUUUCACAAAUUAUAUUUAACUUAUACACAUGUUGCUAUUCUGAAUACCUGACUAGGAAUUGCAAAGUGUGCCACCAGAUCUUAGUAAAUGGGCUUAUGGAACAAGAAGAAAUAAGGGAAAAUCACCUCUUUUCCUUGCAUUAUGGACAAGUCCAGUGUAAGGGCUUUUCCUAAUCUAGAUGGCAAUAUAAACACCACAGAGAUGUUCAGAGGUACAUCUUUUUGUUGGGAAUUAAAGAAUUUACAAAUAAUAAAACAAAAUACCCUAAAAAAAGGAAGUUUUAAAGUAAUGUGUCUUUGGUCUAGUGUUUGUCACAGCUACUUGGUAUGGCCUUCCUCUAAUGUUUCAGUCAUGCAGAAUAAGACAUUAGUCACAGUGUCAAAAUAAGCAUGUUACUUCUGCAAAAAUGUAUUUUCACCUCAGGAAUAUUGUGAAGUGAAAAUAGGAUUUAGCACAAUUCUUCCUUUUGAGUUUUUCUACAGACAGGACAGUUUAGUGAUACACAGAUAGUGUAAAGCUCUAAAUCUUGCAAGAUGAUCCCCAACUGCAGGUAUGACACACCUGGAAGAAUCUGCCAACUGAGUGCUGGCUAGGAUUAAGCUGAAAAGGCAAGAACUCAGUGCUUUCAAUGUUAACUGUCCUCAACAACUGCUGGUUUGUUUUUUUGUUGUUGUUGUUGGGUUGUUUUUUUUUUUCUUUCUUUCUUUCUU